rnacentral:rRNA from 1 species
AGAAUCAACGCUGGCGGCGUGCCUAACACAUGCAAGUCGAACGAGAAAGUGGAGCAAUCCAUGAGUAAAGUGGCGACCGGGUGAGUAACACGUGACUAACCUACCCUGGAGUGGGGAAUAACCUUCCGAAAGGAGGGCUAAUACCGCAUAAAGUCCUGAGGCUGAGAUGCCAUAGGACCAAAGGAGCAAUUCGCUUUGGGAGGGGUCGCGGCAGAUUAGCUAGUUGGUGAGGUAAUGGCUCACCAAGGCAUU